rnacentral:rRNA from 1 species
UGCCGCGUGAGUGAAGAAGGCCUUCGGGUUGUAAAGCUCUUUCGGCCGGAACGAAACGGUGGAUGCUAACACCAUCCAUUACUGACGGUACCGGAAGAAGAAGCACCGGCUAACUACGUGCCAGCAGCCGCGGUAAUACGUAGGGUGCGAGCGUUAAUCGGAAUUACUGGGCGUAAAGGGUGCGCAGGCGGUGGCUCAAGUCAGAUGUGAAAUCCCCAGGCUUAACCUGGGAAUUGCAUUUGAAACUAGGUCGCUAGAGUUUGGCAGAGGGGGGUGGAAUUCCACGUGUAGCAGUGAAAUGCGUAGAGAUGUGGAGGAACACCAAUGGCGAAGGCAGCCCCCUGGGCUAAAACUGACGCUCAUGCACGAAAGCGGGGGAGCAAACAGGAUUAGAUACC